rnacentral:misc_RNA from 1 species
GAUGAAGAACGCAGCGAAAUGCGAUAAGUAAUGUGAAUUGCAGAAUUCAGUGAAUCAUCGAAUCUUUGAACGCACAUUGCGCCCCCUGGUAUUCCGGGGGGCAUGCCUGUUCGAGCGUCAUUUCACCACUCAAGCCUCGCUUGGUAUUGGGCAACGCGGUCCGCCGCGUGCCUCAAAUCGUCCGGCUGGGUCUUCUGUCCCCUAAGCGUUGUGGAAACUAUUCGCUAAAGGGUGUUCGGGAGGCUACGCCGUAAAACAACCCCAUUUCUAAGGUUGACCUCGGAUCAGGUAGGGAUACCCGCUGAACUUAAGCAUAUCAAUAAGCGGAGGA